rnacentral:lncRNA from 1 species
AUUAGCAAGCUACUGAGCUUAUACAUACACUUGCAGUCCCCAAAACACAGCAGUGGGGAUUUAAGUUUUUUUGAAAAGUUAAAAUAAAAUAUACUUUGAUUUUCUUUUUCCUCUUUGCUUUCAAGUUUCAACUGUGUUUGAAUUUGGGAUUUUUGAGGAAUGUGGGGGUGAUAUUAUCAGAUAACUGAUAAACUUAAAAUACAACUGAAAGCUUUUGAAUGAAAGAAGUUGCAGGCAGCUUGGCGCGGUGGUUUGCAUGUGUCUGAGGCUCCGCGAGUUGAGGGAGCUGAUCAAUGGCGGAAGAUGCAUCAAUGAUUGAACAAGAGAAUCCAUCAAAAAAUUCAAGCUGAGAAAAAAGUAUGAUGCAAGGAAAUUGGAGUUUGAAGUUACCUUCAUAGAAUGGUUAUCAUAGAAUUACGACGCUUCCUCUUGCGUCUCGCAUUCUGCAAAAUUCUCUUGGUUUCUUCCUCUUCUUCCUUGGUCAAAUUUCCGAACAGGUCUG